rnacentral:tRNA from 2 species
CAGCUGGGAGAGCGCCUGCCUUGCACGCAGGAGGUCUGCGGUUCGAUCCCGCAUAGCUCCACCA